UUCAUUGUUUCAUCGUCGAUUGCAGCAAGUGUGUUAAAUUUGAUUCGUUAAAUUAAUUUCGCAAAACGAAAAUGUGCAUGGGUUCUACUCAACUGGACGGAGACAAAUGAGACAAGUAUACUGGACGAUUCAAUGGUUCCAGAGAUAAAAUAAGGUUCGAGGACAACCGAAAGAUUGAGAUGGAGAAUAUGGAGACCCAAAGUUAACAAGAACCCUCCAAGAAAAAUGUCUGAAUGGCGUACUGUAUUCAAGUGUUGUCGAUUCUAUUCAUAUAGGUUGCACUAGAUACAUUUUGUCUCAAAGGAUUAUUUUGCAUCUUUGAAAAAGCCAACAUGCAAGUAGACUGGUAUGUGCUACAAUGACAAACAAAAAAUAUACAGUAUCUGCAAUAGUUGAAUACCCAGAUAUCCAGUCAGCAGCUGUAAAAACCAAGAUGACUAAAAUAUGUGAAGAUACAAGGCGCUCCAUGUCAAAGGGAAUGGAUACAGCAGCUAAUGUUUAACAACAGGCGCUUAAUGUGCAGUAAUUUUUAAAUUUUAAAUUAUAAUUGUAAUUAUCUUUGCUAAAGGUAACUUAGCAAAGUGUUGUAAUUAAAUUUU
rnacentral:lncRNA from 1 species